CCUACGGGAGGCAGCAGUGGGGAAUAUUGCACAAUGGGGGAAACCCUGAUGCAGCGACGCCGCGUGAGUGAAGAAGGAUUUCGGUAUGUAAAGCUCUAUCAGCAGGGAAGAAAAUGACGGUAACUGAUUAGGAAGCACCGGCUAACUACGUGCCAGCAGCCGCGGUAAUACGUAGGGGGCAAGCGUUAUCCGGAUUUACUGGGUGAAAAGGGAGCGUAGACGGCAGAACAAGUCUGGAGUGAAAUGCCGGGGCUUAACCCCGGAACUGCUUUGGAAACUGUGCAGCUAGAGUGCAGGAGAGGUAAGUGGAACUCCUAGUGUAGCGGUGAAAUGCGUAGAUAUUAGGAGGAACACCAGUGGCGAAGGCGGCUUACUGGACUGUAACUGACGUUGAGGCUCGAAAGCGUGGGGAGCAAACAGGAUUAGAUACCCUAGUAGUC
rnacentral:rRNA from 1 species